GGCGAGAUGGCCGAGCGGUCUAAGGCGCUACGUUCAGGAUCCCCUGAAUACCAUCAUGGCUUCAUGAAUUCGUAGUCCGAAAGGGCGUGGGUUCGAAUCCCACUCUCGUCA